CCGACCGCGACCCCAG
rnacentral:rRNA from 1 species